UGCCAGCCGCCGCGGUAAUACGUAGGGUGCAAGCGUUGUCCGGAAUUAUUGGGCGUAAAGAGCUCGUAGGCGGUUCGUCGCGUCGGCUGUGAAAACCUGAGGCUCAACCUCAGGCCUGCAGUCGAUACGGGCGGACUUGAGUUCGGCAGGGGAGACUGGAAUUCCUGGUGUAGCGGUGAAAUGCGCAGAUAUCAGGAGGAACACCGGUGGCGAAGGCGGGUCUCUGGGCCGAAACUGACGCUGAGGAGCGAAAGCGUGGGGAGCGAACAGGAUUAGAUA
rnacentral:rRNA from 1 species